UCCAUGGCCCAGGGGUUGGGGACCCCUGCUUUAGAGUGGUUGAUAUUCAAACUCUCCAAACCAGUAAUGAAGUUUGACUCAUAUUUAGUAUCCAAUUACAAGGUUUUGAAUUUUUUGACUGCCAAAAGUUUUUUUUUUUUAACUUUAUUAUGAAAAUGGGAAAGACAGCUGAUUUUAUUGAGAUGGAAUAAUUGUUAAGAUACUUUUUCUGCCUUAGAUUACUAUUGUAUUUCUAAUUAAAGUGCUUUUUUGGAUACUGGCAUUCUGUGUAACCAAUUCUUCAUAGGUCAUGCCACCUCAGAACCUGGAAAGGGCAGAUGAAAUUUGCAUUGCUGGCUCCCCUUUGACUCCCAGAAGGGUGACUGAAGUUCGUGCUGAUACUGGAGGACUUGGAAGGAGCAUAACAUCUCCAGCCACAUUAUACGAUAGGUACAGCUCCCCACCAGCCAGCACUACCAGAAGGCGGCUAUUUGUUGAGAAUGAUAGCCCCUCUGAUGGAGGGACACCUGGGCGCAUGCCCCCACAGCCCCUAGUCAAUGCUGUCCCUGUGCAGAAUGUAUCUGGGGAGACUGUUUCUGUCACACCAGUUCCUGGACAGACUUUGGUCACCAUGGCAACCGCCACUGUCACAGCCAACAAUGGGCAAACGGUAACCAUUCCUGUGCAAGGUAAGGAAGGCAGAGUUGGAUAUUGAGUUCCUUCUCUGUGGCAUGUAUUGAAAAGUUACCCGAGGUUUGGCU
rnacentral:sRNA from 1 species